ensembl:lncRNA
UAACUGAUCGUCUGACGUCAUCUGCAUAUUUGACUCUCGCACCGCGAAUUACAAGUGCUUUAUUUGUGUUUAAGUUUGGCCCAAAAUGGCAUUCUGUAGUUGUAUUUACAAGCAAAACAUAAAGUUUUAGCUUUAAAAAACAAAGUUUUAUAUAUAUAUAAAAGCAGAAGCAUAGAAGUCUUGUGCUCCCAUGUUUAUUUAACAUUAGAGAUAGCAGGAACACUCUCGAGGUGGGAAUGUACAAUGGAAAACCCGGUGAAAAACAAGGCCUCUGAUGAUCCUUGUAUGCUGAAUAUAAUCUUAUAAAACUCUAAUCAACAACAGAAAUAUAAUUAACCGCAGUGAGGUGAGAUGUAAAGCGCCGACAGAGACUGGAUCUCCACACCGAGGAAUCUGAGGAAUGUUUUACCUUCUCUGCUUCUCCACGACCGGGUCUGGAUAAACGCUCACAUGGAGUUUUUUGGACCGUCAUUAAGAUAAAAAUCAGAUGUUGUUUUCUCUCCUCUCUCUCUCUCUCUCCUCUCUCUCUCUCUCUCUCUCUCUCUCUCCAGGCUUCAAAACAUGCCAAGAAUUUCCACUAAAGCGUUUGAAGGCUGAACUUUGCUUUUACCACACGGGGCAAACCAAACCUCAGGAGCAGUAAACGCUAUGAUUCAGCUGGAAAUGUAAAGCCAGACCUCACCGCACGCACACACACACACACACACACACACACACACACACACACACAUAAUCUAUAUUACAGUGUACAGUAAGUGAAGUGUGUGUGCCAGCAUUCAUAUUAGUUACAAUGAAAUCCCUCUCAGAAUAACAACCACAGAAAAACCUUCAGCUCAACAAUUAGAUAUAGAAUUAAACAAAUCAAAUGGUACAGCUUUCCUUUAUGGCUUACGUUUGCAUUUGUAUCAAUAAAAUACAGUACAUGUGCAAUAAUUUCACUGGACACCACCAGGCAUCACUGGACACCAACAGACAACACUGGGCACCACUGGGCAUCAUUAGAAACCAACAGGCAAUAAUGGACACCAACAGGCAACACUGGGCAUCACUAGACACCAACAAACAACACUGGACACCAACAGGCAACACUGCACAUCACUGGACACCAACAGACAACACUGGACACCAACAGGCAACACCGCACAUCACUGGACACCAACAGGCAACACUGGGCACCACUGGACACCAACAGACAACACUGGACACCAACAGGCACCACUGGGCACCACUGGACACCAACAGACAACACUGGACACCAACAGGCAACACUGCACAUCACUGGACACCAACAGACAACACUGGACACCAACAGGCACCACUGGGCACCACUGGACACCAACAGACACCACUGGACACCAACAGGCAACACUGGACACCACUGGACACCAACAGACAACACUGGACACCAGCAGGCAACACUGGACACCAACAGGCAACACUGGGCAUCACUGGACACCAACAGGCAUCAUUGGACACCAAGAGGCAACACUGGGCACCACUGGACACAAGCAGGCAUCACUGGACACCAACAGCAACACUGGGCACCAACAGGCAACACUGGGCAUCACUGCACACUAAUGGGCACCACUGGACAUCACCAGGCACCACCGGGAACCACCGCUCUGAUCCAUGGAAUGAUCCAUUUAUCCCCAGAAUCCACAAGAGCUUCACAAAGCAAGCACGGACAGAUGAGCAGAGGGCCGAGCCACGAGACGGCUCAGAACCAUAGCACCAAAAUCCCUGCCAUUGAUGCAAGUAACAGUACAACAGAAUAGAUCAGCUGCUGCACUCGAUCCAGGCAUACACGAAUUACACCCGGGGAAAUCUGCCGCUCACGCUCACCGUCAUGACCAGUAACCAGCGGACAAAAAAAAGGAAAGACAAAAGAAAAAGCCCCAACGAGAAGCAGAAGCAAAAACAUGUACAGUGUACUCUCAAGAAGCACGACAUUAACUUUUACUGCUGUCACGCCCACAGGGGACUGUAAUUAAACACUCACAGCACAAUUAAAUUUAAUACGAUAGAAAAUUGACGCAUUCCUGUAUCGUGCGGGUAGAGGCAGGACGCGAGUGCGUGUUUGGGCGAGUCCACAAAUCAACAUUGUAGUCCAUCGUGUAGGUCAAAGAACAGGAAGGGAACGAUGGAUUUGGAUGAUCUAAUGAAAGGCUUAACACAGAACAGGUGAACACAUUAGGGUAAUCAACCACUUUUUGGAAAUAUUAUGACAAUUUCGAACGUUCCUAACUACUGAAUUGAACUUUCCUAAGUUUUCCCUGCAGGUGCUGGCCCACCUGACACCUCGUCACCUUUCCUCACCGCACCUCUCCUUCCUUUCAUCACUCUCUUUUUACGAGCUGGAGGAAAUCUCUCUCCACAGCAUGGGACAACGACUGAAUCACCUGCCUUAAAAGUCACUGCUCCACACUUUCUCCAGUUUUACGAGCUGGAAAAGAUCCAGAAGCUCCACCACGCUUUCCACAGAAGGUCCCAGAAUCAGUUUAAUAGCAGAGAGACGGGGUUUCCAAAUGGAAUGAACUACCGCAGACCUCCUACUGGAAGAUAUAUGGCACACGUCUGCUACAGCCAUGAGAUCUCUGUUUGACACGAUAAAAUGAUUUCGAGCAUAAACCCGAAUCAUAACGAGAUUAACGGCGGGACUUUAAAUCACGAUUAAAACUAAAUCCAAGAUCUACAAUGUAAAGGAAACGAUCAUAUAAAUGAACUGGGAGCUAUCAUCUGGAUUAUCAGUUAACGUAUAAAUUAGCAUGUCAAUUAUUUCUACUUCGGUAAACAUCUAUAUCUAACACCUAUCCCCUUUAGGUUCUUAUAAUAACCAAAGUGAUACAUAAUUAAUAUUUAUUCAAAUAUUUAAUUAGUACACUACAGAUUCUGAUUCAAUUCAAUUCAGUUUUAUUUGUGUAGUGCUUUUUACAAAGGACGUUGUCUUAAAGCAGCUUUACAGAAAUAUAUAAACACAGGAUAGAGAUUGUAAGUGUGGAUGGAUGGAUGGAUGGAUGGAGUUUAUCCCUAUUGAGCGAGACGGUGGUGACGGUGGUGAGGAAAAACUCCCUGAGAUGAUAUGAGGAAGAAACCUUGAGAGGAACCGGACUCAGGAGGAAACCCGUCUUCGUCUGGGUAACGACGGAUAGUGUGAGAGUGAAAGAAAGUUCAUUAUGGUUUAUGAUUAAUCUGUAGCCACGCCCUGAUAGACUGAUUAAGCUGUAGUCUCGCCCUGACUGACUGUUUAAGAUGUCGUCACGCCCUGAUAACUGAUUAAGCUGUAGCCACGCCCUGAUAGACUGAUUAAUCUGUAGCCAUGCCCUGAUAGACUGAUUAAUCUGUAGCCACGCCCUGAUAGACUGAUUAAUCUGUAGCCACGCCCUGAUAGACUGAUUAAUCUGUAGCCACGCCCUGAUAGACUGAUUAAUCUGUAGCCACGCCCUGAUAGACUGAUUAAUCUGUAGCCACACCCUGAUAGACUGAUUAAUCUGUAGCCACGCCCCAAUAGACUGAUUAAGCUGUAGCCACACCCUGACAGACUGAUUCAUCUUUAGCCACGCCCUGAUGGACUGAUUAGGCUGUAGCCACGCCCUGAUGGACUGAUUAAGCUGUAGCACCGCCCUGAUGGACUGAUUAAGCUGUAGCGAUGCCCUGAUAGACUGAUUAAUCUGUAGCCACGCCCUGAUAGACUGAUUAAGCUGUAGCCACGCCUGACGGCCUGAUUCAUCUUUAGCCACGCCCUGAUGGACUGAUUAAUCUGUGGUCACAGUCUGAUGGACUGAUUAAGCUGUAGCCCCGCCCUGAUGGACUGAUUAAGCUGUAGCCCCGCCCUGAAGGACUGAUUAAGAUGUAGCCAUGCCCUGAUGGACUGAUUGGGCCACGCCCUGAUGAGCUACCUGAUAGGUGUCCCCAUCCUCAUGGGACAGCUGCCUGGCCGGUGACCCUGCCCUUCACCAACACACACAAAAUCAUUUCAAUCGUUUCAACCCCAAACCCCUCCUGGGAUAAGCAAUGAUGAUUAAAACAAAACUAAACUUCUGAAAGCCACUUCUGAAUCAGUCAUGACACACUCAGACACACACUCAGACAUACACACACACACACACACACACACACAGACACGCGAGCACGCUCCGGUCACGCCGUGUGUGUAAGCAGCAUGUUUUAAUAAUUACUCAGUGAAGUGAGACAUAGCCGAGACCCUGAGGUUCAUCAUCGUCUCCGUUCUUUCCCGGAUCUUUAAUUUCCUUUAAACACUUCUCCAGACUGCACAUAUGGCCUUUCAUUCACACGACGGAAUCAGGAUUGCUGAUCUGUGGGCAGAUUGUUAUCCAAAAAAAAAAAAAAAAAAGCUUUAACGGAUCCAGGAACAGCCGGCACGCUCCUAAACGCUUCGUUUGAUGAGCUGUCAUUAACGUGACCUUUUGGAUAAGUGCCUCGUCCAAGUUCAGUCGAGCUCGAGAGAAACGUGGCGCUUUUUUUUACAACGGUUUAGUUCCAAACCAGCAUCGAGAACUGAGAGAGAGAGAGAGAGAGAGAGAGAGAGAGAGAGAGAGACAGAGAGAGACAGAGAGAGAGACAGAGACAGAGACAGAGAGAGAGCAAGACAGAGAAAGAGAGAGAGACAGAGAGAGACAGAGAGAGAGAGACAGAGAGAGAGAGAGAGAGAGAAAGAGAGAGACAGAGAGAGAGCGAGAGAGAGAAAGAGAGAGAGAGACAGAGAAAGAGAGAGACAGAGAGAGCGAGAGAGAGAGCCAGAGAGAGAGAGAGAGAGAGAGAGA